rnacentral:rRNA from 1 species
UACGUAGGGGGCAAGCGUUGUCCGGAUUUAUUGGGCGUAAAGAGCGUGUAGGCGGUUCGGUAGGUCCGCUGUGAAAGUCCAGGGCUCAACCCUGGGAUGCCGGUGGAUACUGUCGGGCUCGAGUCCGGAAGAGGCGAGUGGAAUUCCUGGUGUAGCGGUGAAAUGGCGCAGAUAUCAGAAGGAACACCAAUUGCGAAGGCAGCUCGCUGGAACGUAACUGACGCUGAGACGCGAAAGCGUGGGGAGCAAACAGG